GAUGAAGAACGUAGCGAAAUGCGAUACGUAAUGUGAAUUGCAGAAUUCAGUGAAUCAUCGAAUCUUUGAACGCACAUUGCGCCUGCCAGCACUCUGGCAGGCAUGCCUGUUCGAGCGUCAUUUCAACCAUCAAGCCCUAGGCUUGCGUUGGAGCCCUGCGGCUGCCGCAGGCCCCUAAAAGCAGUGGCGGGCUCGCUAUCACACCCAGUGCAGUAGAUUACUCUUCGCUCAGGGCGUGUGGCGGGUUCCAGCCGUGAAACCCCCUACUUCUCAAGGUUGACCUCGGAUCAGGUAGGAAUACCCGCUGAACUUAAGCAUAUCAAUAAGCGGAGGA
rnacentral:misc_RNA from 1 species